UGCUGCUAGAGUGGCUAGCAAGUGUUAGCUAGCACAUGCUGUUUGCCUAUGUUACAGUAAACACCGAGGUUGCUAGUACAUGUAGAAAUUUCAUUGGUACAGAAGUUUCAUUGGUUCCAGAAAACCAGGAAAAUGUGGAGCCAUCUGUAGACUUCAGAGCUGGUAUGUAAAAUGUAUUGCUGUGAUGCUUUAUUUGUGAUCCUGCCACUAAACUAUACCCUUUGUUAGAUUUUCAAAUUUCUGUUUCCUCUUUCUCAGAACCAGGUUUCUCCCCAGGACACACUCCACUUCACAGAGCCAAGCGUUUGAGUACGAGUGCAGAUCAGACCCUAGUGCUGCGACGUCUUGGAGAGUUUGGCGAUGUUGUGCGUAGCAUGGAAAACUAUGCUGCAACAUUUCAGUGCCAAUGUGUCUGUUGGAGAGCUAUCCCUGCCAGGGGAUCUGUUACUCCCCCUAGACACCCAGGUAGAUUUGGUGUUUCUUGACAGCAUUUUGAGGCAGGAUAAAGAGCUCCAGGAACGAUUUCUUCGGUUUUUGGCUAUCAAAUGUGGGAGGGACCUGAAGACAACAGUGUGGAGAAUGCUUCAGAGUAUAUUCUCUAAUAACCUUGCCGUUAAUACAACCUGGACUGGUAUAGGGGAUAAAACAUGUUUUAGAGACCUGUUCCUGAAGACCAUUGUUCAAAG
ensembl:lncRNA